ensembl:lncRNA
CAGCAUUCUUACAUAUUAGGCACUGUGCAAAGCAUGAAGAACAGUGGACAGAGCCAGACGUCUUCCCUUCUCCUGUGCCAUCCAUCUAGCGAAGGAGACACUCAUUAAUCCAAGAGUCACCUAGACUUCCGCUACCUUGGACCCGAGAGACUAUAUGAUACCACAUGAAAUGUCCAACAGAUAUAGGUACUGUUCUGGACCGUGAACAAAUCCUACUGUCGUGGAGUUAUAUUCUGGUGAAUUCACACCACUACCCUAAAAGGCAACUAUUCAGUCUCGCUCUCACCAGUACAGAAAUGACAAUUUUACUCUCAUAGUAUGCUUGAGACCCCUGCACUGUCCAGUGUUUAAGUAGCAUAGGAUUUGCACAUUACCAUCCUACUCUAUCUGAAGCUAGCAUUUAACAUUUAUCACUAAUACCUGAUACUUCACAUAAAGUUUUUCCUAUCAGCAAAAGGGUAGAGACACA